rnacentral:rRNA from 1 species
CAGCAGCCACGGUAAUGCGGAGGGCGCGAGCGUUACCCGGAUUUACUGGGCGUAAAGGGCGUGUAGGCGGCCUGGGGCGUCCCAUGUGAAAGGCCACGGCUCAACCGUGGAGGAGCGUGGGAUACGCUCAGGCUAGAGGGUGGGAGAGGGUGGUGGAAUUCCCGGAGUAGCGGUGAAAUGCGCAGAUACCGGGAGGAACGCCGAUGGCGAAGGCAGCCACCUGGUCCACUUCUGACGCUGAGGCGCGAAAGCGUGGGGAGCAAACCGGAUUAGAUACCCGGGUAGUCCCUGUCUCUUAUAC